rnacentral:lncRNA from 1 species
GUUUUUGUUGUUGUUUUUUUAUGCCCCACCUACGAUAGUAGAGGGGCAUUAUGUUUUCUGGUCUGUGCGUCCGUUCGUCCGUCUGUUCGUUCGUUCGUUCGUUCGUCUGUUCGUUCUUCCGUCUGUCCCGCUUCAGGUUAAAGUUUUUGGUCAAGGUAGUUUUUGAUGAAGUUGAAGUCCAAUCAACUUGAAACUUAGUACACAUGUUCCUUAUGAUAUGAUCUUUCUAAUUUAAAUGCCAAAUUAGAGUUUUGACCCCAAUUUUACGGUUCACUGAUAGAAAAUGAUAGUGCAAAUUUCAGGUUAAAGUUUUUGGCUUCAGGUUAAAGUUUUUGGUCAAGGUAGUUUUUGAUGAAGUUGAAGUCCAAU